CUUGACGACCAUAGAGCGUUGGAACCACCUGAUCCCUUCCCGAACUCAGUAGUGAAACGAUGUAUCGCCGAUGGUAGUGUGGGGU
rnacentral:rRNA from 1 species